rnacentral:lncRNA from 1 species
GUAAGCACUCAGAGUCGGGCCAGAGGAAUUAGGGAGCAGAUUGCCCCCUGAACGCCUAGCCCUGGUGGGGUGGGAGAAGGCCUUUCUACUCUCCCUCCACGGGAAAAUAAAAGAGAUGAACGAACCCUAAUCCUGACCUGGGGGCGAAUCCCAAUAAAGAUCCAGGUUAAUUUUUCCUGCCGAUCCAACCCUCGAACUCAUUGUGAGAAUUAGACAGUUGGGUGGCACUAAUUUGCCAGAUCAGAUUGUAUAAUUAUCUUUUAUAGGCCUGGGUGUGAUGCAGGCCCGGUGUUUAUGCUGCAGGGGGCUGAGAGCCUGUGUUUGGACCUCGGAGUCGCUGCUCCUCCUGCCAGCCGGCGCUUCUCACGAGCAGGCGGGGGCGGAGGCCUCUGGGGCACACACAGCCUGGCCAGAAACAGGGCCAGGGCGCCGGGGCCUCAGAUGAACCUGCCGGAGGUGGCAGGAGAACCUUGGACACAGCCCAGAGUGAAAGGGAGGAACCCAAGGGAGGCCGUCGGGGGCGGGUCCCCCAACUGGAGUGGGGGUCUUCUGGAAAGUUCUGCGGCGGCAACAGAGGAGUCAUUCAACAAGGGGCCUCAGUAAAGUCUGGCAAGUGUGGAGAUUGUAAAAAAGCUGGUAGAUUCAGGUCCAAGUUACGACGCCCAUGGCCUUUGGCAUUUCUGUCCUCACAGGUCCCUUCUUCCCUUAUUUGAUGACCGCGAUGAUACCAGGAUAAAAAGUAGCCAGGCUGGAUCCCUCAGAUCUAGGCGUUAGAUGUCCACUCAGUUGUUCUGCUUUUAAAAGAAAUGAGAACAUUUUCGUGAGUCCUGGAAAGUAUCUCUAGCCAGUGGGUAUGUUGGCCUUGGGGAGCUUCUAGAAUGCUCCUUGAAAAUAGAGACAAAUCUUCUGGGAGCUUUGUGGCCUAUUUUGUCAUGAGAAAGGUAGUCACUCCCCUCUGAUUGGGACCCAUUUCUAAGGUCCAAGAAUUUCCCCAUUCUGGCCAAAGACACGGCUCUAAAAAAGGUCUCUGGCUGUCGAAGCCAUCCCUCGCCGCCCUGCUCUUGCACACGGGGUCUCUGAUCCAGUGUGGCUUACUGAGAUAAUGGUUCUUUUUGGAAAAGGCAUUUUGUGGGACUGACCAUUCUCCGGGCUGGUGUCUUCUCGUGUCCUCACUUGGGGGGGCUUUUAUUUCUGGGUUCCUCCAUCAAAGGUGUGCAGGAGGAGCAGGGUGGGUCCUUCUGUCUUAGUUAGAGGUGACUUUGAGGUGGUGGUUGGGCCAGAAACCGCCAGAUGGUGCUCAGGCAUGGGGGUGUCCUGAAG